rnacentral:misc_RNA from 1 species
GAUGAAGAACGUAGCGAAAUGCGAUACGUAAUGUGAAUUGCAGAAUUCAGUGAAUCAUCGAAUCUUUGAACGCAUAUUGCGCUCUUUGGUAUUCCGAAGAGCAUGCUUGUUUGAGUAUCAGUAAACACCUCAACCUCUUCUUGAUUUUUCAAAAGGAGGGUGGACUUGAGCUAUCCCAACAACCUUUACCGGUCGGCGGGCGGCUUGAAAUGCAGGUGCAGCUGGACUUUUAUCUGAGCUAAAAGCAUAUCUAUUUAGUCCUCGUCAAACAGGAUUAUUACUUUUGCUGCAGCUAACAUAAAGGAUAAUUGUCCUCUUUGCUGACUGAUGCAGGAUUUUACGACACUUUAUGUGUUGUUCAACUCGAUCUCAAAGCAAGUAAGACUGCCCGCUGAACUUAAGCAUAUCAAUAAGCGGAGGA